GAUGAACGCUGGCGGCGUGCCUAAUACAUGCAAGUCGAGCGAACGGACGAGAAGCUUUCUUCUCUGAUGUUAGCGGCGGACGGGUGAGUAACACGUGGAUAACCUACCUAUAAGACUGGGAUAACUUCGGGAAACCGGAGCUAAUACCGGCUGAUAUUUUGAACCGCAUGGUUCAAAAGUGAAAGACGGUCUUGCUGUCACUUAUAGAUGGAUCCGCGCUGCAUUAGCUAGUUGGUAAGGUAACGGCUUACCAAGGCAACGAUGCAUAGCCGACCUGAGAGGAUGAUCGGCCACACUGGAACUGAGACACAGUCCAGACUCCUACGGGAGGCAGCAGUAGGGAAUCUUCCGCAAUGGGCGAAAGCCUGACGGAGCAACGCCGCGUGAGUGAUGAAGGUCUUCGGAUCGUAAAACUCUGUUAUUAGGGAAGAACAUAUGUGUAAGUAACUGUGCACAUCUUGACGGUACCUAAUCAGAAAGCCACGGCUAACUACGUG
rnacentral:rRNA from 1 species